GGAGAGGUGUCCGAGUGGUUGAAGGUGCCGCUCUCGAAAAGCGGUGGGGGCCAAAAGCUCCUCGUGGGUUCGAAUCCCACCCUCUCCG
rnacentral:tRNA from 1 species